UACAGAGGUCCCAAGCGUUGUUCGGAUUCAUUGGGCGUAAAGGGUGCGUAGGCGGCGCGGUAAGUCGGGUGUGAAAUCUCGGAGCUUAACUCCGAAACUGCAUUCGAUACUGCCGUGCUUGAGGACUGGAGAGGAGACUGGAAUUCAUGGUGUAGCAGUGAAAUGCGUAGAGAUCAUGAGGAAGACCAGUGGCGAAGGCGGGUCUCUGGGCAACAACGUGACGCUGGAGGAGCGAAAGCGUGGGGAGCGAACAGG
rnacentral:rRNA from 1 species